AAGUCGUAACAAGGUUUCCGUAGGUGAACCUGCGGAAGGAUCAUUACCUAGAGUUUGCGGGCUUUGCCUGCUAUCUCUUACCCAUGUCUUUUGAGUACUUACGUUUCCUCGGUGGGUUCGCCCGCCGAUUGGACAAUUUAAACCCUUUGCAGUUGCAAUCAGCGUCUGAAAAAAAUUAAUAAUUACAACUUUCAACAACGGAUCUCUUGGUUCUG
rnacentral:misc_RNA from 1 species